AUUGAACGCUGGCGGCAUGCUUUACACAUGCAAGUCGAACGGUAACAGGCCUUCGGGUGCUGACGAGUGGCGCACGGGUGCGUAAUGCGUCGGAACGUACCCAGAGGUGGGGGAUAACGCAGCGAAAGCUGUGCUAAUACCGCAUGUGAUCUGAGGAUGAAAGCGGGGGACCGAGCAGCAAUGUUUGGCCUCGCGCCUUUGGAGCGGCCGAUGUCGGAUUAGCUAGUUGGUGGGGUAAAGGCCUACCAAGGCGACGAUCCGUAGCUGGUCUGAGAGGACGACCAGCCACACUGGGACUGAGACACGGCCCAGACUCCUACGGGAGGCAGCAGUGGGGAAUUUUGGACAAUGGGCGCAAGCCUGAUCCAGCAAUGCCGCGUGCGGGAAGAAGGCCUUCGGGUUGUAAACCGCUUUUGGCAGGAACGAAACGGUGUCCGCUAAUACCGGGCGCUAAUGACGGUACCUGCAGAAUAAGCACCGGCUAACUACGUG
rnacentral:rRNA from 1 species